UACGUAGGGGGCAAGCGUUGUCCGGAAUUAUUGGGCGUAAAGCGCGCGCAGGCGGCUUCUUAAGUCAGGUGUGAAAGCCCACGGCUCAACCGUGGAGGGCCAUCUGAAACUGGGAAGCUUGAGUGCAGGAGAGGAGAGCGGAAUUCCACGUGUAGCGGUGAAAUGCGUAGAGAUGUGGAGGAACACCAGUGGCGAAGGCGACUUUCUGGUCUGUAAUUGACGCUGAGGCUCGAAAGCGUGGGGAGCAAACAGG
rnacentral:rRNA from 1 species